GAUGAAGAACGCAGUGAAAUGCGAUAAGUAAUGUGAAUUGCAGAAUUCAGUGAAUCAUCGAAUCUUUGAACGCACAUUGCGCCCUUUGGUAUUCCUUAGGGCAUGCCUGUUCGAGCGUCAUUUAAACCUUCAAGCUCAGCUUGGUGAUGGGUGACUGUCCUCCCCUCGCGGGGGGACUCGCCUCAAAAACAUUGGCGGCCGGUACAUUGGCUUCGAGCGCAGCAGAAACGCGGUCUCGAGUCCGGUGGAUCGGCUCCCAUAAGUCUAUUCUUUUAUUUUGACCUCGGAUCAGGUAGGGAUACCCGCUGAACUUAAGCAUAUCAAUAAGCGGAGGA
rnacentral:misc_RNA from 1 species